CAGUCGCCGCGGUAAUACGAGGGGGGCAAGCGUUGUUCGGAAUUAUUGGGCGUAAAGGGUGCGUAGGCGGUUUGACAAGUCUUAUGUGAAAUCUCUGGGCUCAACCCAGAGUCUGCAUGGGAAACUGUCGAGCUUGAGUAUGGGAGAGGUGAGUGGAAUUUCCGGUGUAGCGGUGAAAUGCGUAGAUAUCGGAAGGAACACCUGUGGCGAAAGCGGCUCACUGGACCAUUACUGACGCUGAUGCACGAAAGCUAGGGGAGCAAACAGGAUUAGAUACCCCUGUAGUCCCUGUCUCUUAUAU
rnacentral:rRNA from 1 species